rnacentral:rRNA from 1 species
UCCUACGGGAGGCAGCAGUGGGGAAUAUUGCACAAUGGGGGAAACCCUGAUGCAGCGACGCCGCGUGAGUGAAGAAGUAUUUCGGUAUGUAAAGCUCUAUCAGCAGGGAGGAAAUACUGACCAUAGGGUCAGCAGACGGUACUUGACUAAGAAGCCCCGGCUAACUACGUGCCAGCAGCCGCGGUAAUA